rnacentral:rRNA from 1 species
UUGGAGGGCAAGUCUGGUGCCAGCAGCCGCGGUAAUUCCAGCUCCAAUAGCGUAUAUUAAAGUUGUUGCAGUUAAAAAGCUCGUAGUUGAACUUCGGGGUUCUACCGUUGGUCGGGCUUUGUCUGUACUGGUGUGUAGAAUUUCUACCUUCUGGGGAACCAUCAUGCUAUUAAUUUAGCGUGGUGGGAAACCAGGACCUUUACCUUGAAAAAAUUAGUGUGUUCAAAGCAGGCUUAUGUCUGAAUACAUUAGCGUGGAAUAAUAGAAUAGGACGGUGGUCCUGUUUUGUUGGUUUCUGAAUCACCGUAGUGAUUAAUAGGGAUAGUUGGGGGCAUUAGUAUUCAAUUGUCAGAGGUGAAAUUCUUGGAUUUAUUGAAGACUAACUUCUGCGAAAGCAUUUGCCAAGGAUGUCUUCAUUAAUCAAGAACGAAAGUUAGGGGAUCGAAGACGAUCAGAUACCGUCGUAGUCUUAACCAUAAACUAUGCCGACUAGGGAUCGGACGAUGUUAAUUUUUCUUGACUCGUUCGGCGCCUUACGGGAAAC